UUUAUCGGAGAGUUUGAUCCUGGCUCAGGACGAACGCUGGCGGCGUGCCUAAUACAUGCAAGUCGAGCGGACAGAUGGGAGCUUGCUCCCUGAUGUUAGCGGCGGACGGGUGAGUAACACGUG
rnacentral:rRNA from 1 species